GAGAAGCAGCUAGACCUAGGGAUCCAGUUGUUCAUUUUGGUUAUCGCCUGUGAGGCCAGCAUCCAAGCAUAAGAGGAAUCUAGGAGCUGUCUCAAAAAGGUGUUCAGAACAUUGGGGAACGACUAUAUGUUGCCGUGAAGAACUACAGGCUACCACCGCCCUCAGACCUUUGUCAUUAUCACAUGUUGAGAGCAGCCAGGAGAAUCCAAAUGCCGGUGGAAAGGUUCUCUGCCUGGUCCUGAUGAGGAGCCUUCGGCCGCAGGAAGGCUGGCUGUGUCCUUACCGGACUUGAUGCUGUUCUGAGGGCCAGCAACUCGAAGGGAUGCAGCUCAGCCCAUUUUGUUGAUUUCUGUGAUACUGUUUUGAGGAAGCACAUGCUGAAGCCUAGUCGGGCAGUCGAAGGAGCGUUGUCACAGCUGGGAGCUCUGCAGAGAUCUGUGGCUGGCCAUGGAGGAUGAGCUCUGACUUGCAGCGUGGACACAGCUAAGUCCUGGGCUAUAUCAUAUGCGAGCAGCACUGGGAGGUGCAAGGUGGUUGUCCCCUAGGCAGUUACUGGUGUCACCGGCUGUGGAUGUUUGCUGAUGGAGCUGAGGACCAAAAAUA